rnacentral:lncRNA from 1 species
GGGUUCAGGCCAGCGCUGGGGGGCAGGUGGGGCCCAUGGCGCCCGGCCCGUUAGGGGCUAAGUCUGGGCCACUGCAAGCCACAGCCCCUUCUCCAGAUGCAGUGGAGCUCGCCAAGCUCUGGCCAGGCCUGGAGGCCCUGGGGCUGCUCUGCCCUCCGUGGGUGGCCGCUGGGCUAUGGUUAGGGGGACAGGAGUGACAGGGAAGGACCAGACCCUGUCCCCGGCUCUGAGGCAGCACUGGCCCACCCACCUUCCCUCUCCGGCACCCUUGGUACAACGAGGACAACCCCAGCCUCUGCUAGCACCAGGCGCCUGCGAGGGUUUCAGGGUCGGGGUCGGCCUCUCCCGCUUGAGCGGCAGCGCUGCCGGGAAGAGCCUCUGUCUCUCCACUUAGACGUCCACAUGGCAGCGUGGGAUACGCGUGCAGAACGCGUGACUGUGGAGGAGAAAGGAUUUGCUUCCUCCGUGGGAAAUGCUGGACUCUUUAACCUCAAUAAAAGUGGUGAGCUGAGCUCAGGACUCGCCUGGCACUGCUCCCCUGGGGACGUCCCUGCCCGUGUGUCCUGCUGCAGAGCAUCCGCCGCUGACCAGGCUGGUCCACUCCAUCCGGACUCCAGGGAGUUGCAGUCAUGUGUUCACUGGGGCGCUAUCAUCUGAUGGCUUGACUGGGGCUGGAAGAUCUACUUCCAAGAUACUGCUGUCCCAUGGGGGGGGCAUCUUGUGCACCUCCAGAACAUGAGCUGAGCACCCAGUGCCUAGAGCCAGGGGCAGGACAGAAGGAGGCUCUCCCAUGACUUUACAGAUUCAUGGGCAAGAAAUCAGGUACGCCAAAGUAAACAGACAAUAGUGCCCUGAAGGAGUGACAUGGAGGGCUGGUUUCCCCAGACAUGUGUGCAUGCCUGUAUGCACCUGUAUGUGUGACUGUGUGUGUGUGUAUAUAUAUAAUAUAUAUGUGAAUACGUGCAUGUGUGUGCAUGAGUGGACAUGUACAUGCAUGUGUGUGUGUGUGUGUGUAUGCAUGCAUUAGUGUAUGCAUACAUGCGCGGGGGUGAUCACUGAAGGUGUUUUUGAGAAUGUGAUACUUAAGCCAAAAUUUGAACAUGAAGAUUAGCUAAAGGGAAAAGGGGUGAAAGAAUAUUCUAGAAGUGGGCAAGUGUGCACAGGAGAGAGCAACGAGUUUGGGUCUUGCGGGAAUAAGCUGGGGCAGGCUCCCUGGGAACUGGGCUUUGGCCGGGUGUGUUGGACAGAGGGAGAGAGGGUUGAUCAGUUGAGGGUCCUCUGCAUGUCAGUGACUUGCUUCUAGCAACUGGGAGGAAGUUCGGGGGAUUCCAAGCCAGAAAGGGACCAGCUGGUGAGCAGCAGGUGGGCAGGUGGCCCCUCAGUCCAGGUGUGCGUUGGUGAGGCAGGUGUGAGAACUGAGGCAGUGCUGGGGUCAGCUGGGGACUAAGCUGGAGAGACAG